rnacentral:rRNA from 1 species
GGCUAGCGUUGCUCGGAAUCACUGGGCGUAAAGCGCACGUAGGCGGAUUGCUAAGUCAGGGGUGAAAUCCUGGAGCUCAACUCCAGAACUGCCUUUGAUACUGGCGAUCUCGAGUCCGGGAGAGGUGAGUGGAACUGCGAGUGUAGAGGUGAAAUUCGUAGAUAUUCGCAAGAACACCAGUGGCGAAGGCGGCUCACUGGCCCGGUACUGACGCUGAGGUGCGAAAGCGUGGGGAGCAAACAGG